AGGACAGAAAGACCAGAAUUGGGAAGAAAAAAAAAUAUCUGGGCCAUAUUCCCUUUGUAUCAGCAGCUUCCUGAUGAGAAUAACAUUCUUGAAAAAGCAGAAGCCAUCAUUGGUCCAUACUUGGAAUGCUGUGAAGUGAGCUGGUCAGUAAUGUAAUGUUCCUGGUAUGCAAGUUUGCUCCACAAAAUAAAUUGGUCCAGGAAAUAUAUGAAAAUGAGGAUGUUCAUGAUUCCAUAUCCUAAACUAAACCCUUCAGGAAGACGUUGCAAACACAUCUGGAGACUUUGAGAAGAUAUCUGGCAAGCCAACCUAUGGCCUGGUUUAAAGGGAGCACAUUCAAACUACAGCAGUUUAAUGAUACACCUGCUAUAACUUUUUGUUGUGAAAUGUUCCUGUGGAUUAUACAUGCAUUUAAUUCUCUGGAUUUGUUUGUAAUUGUAUAAAAAUGGAAAGAAGUCAUAAUUAUACUUGAUUAUUUUAUUGUAAUAUUGGACCUGUAAACUGAUUAUUUUCAAUGAAAAUUUCUUUCAUUUUGUUCUUACACAAACAAUUGAAUUGACAUUGAAUUAAACAACAUUAACAGCACGGAGAAGAAGAAAAAACUAACUAUUUUGGCUAUUUUUUACAUUACAAGCGCAACUGCAAUAGACUAUGAGAACAUUAAGUGGUUGCACAUACUGUAGAUUGACACUGGGAUCUUUUGCAAUCACAUUUAACACAAGUCAACUCACAAAAAUAACACAAGUCAACUCUGUGACAGAAGACCUAUCAGAUGGUAAUUGUUUCUCAUGUGAACAUAUGUAAAAAUGUAUUUACUCAUGGAUUUGAUGCUUUUUUCACAGUGGAGAAGCAAGAUGUGUGAUCAUAUGAACCUAGAAAUGCACUGCUGACAUGGCCAAUCGCAUGGUUGUCUGCUAUAAAUAAAUAAAAUGGCAUAUGCUUGGAAUAAUAAAUAAAUUUAAAUGUAAUAUACUAUUCAUUAUUUAUUUAAAUCUCUGGUUUAAAAAUAGGAAAAUAGACCCACUAUAGUUUAAAUAGUUUUCUUAAAUUUUAUCUCUCAAAAUGAUGGGUGUCAUUAAAAAUGUGGAGAUUAGCAGAAAUGCGUUGCAACCUCUUAUUUACAUGAGGUAAACAAAGCUGCUUGGUUUACAUUUUUAUGUAUGUACUUGUAGGGUUAUACAUAUUUUAAAGUUGUA